GACGUAGGGCGCAAGCGUUGUCCGGAUUUACUGGGCGUAAAGAGCUCGUAGGUGGUUUGUCGCGUUGUCCGUGAAAACUCACAACUCAAUUGUGGGCGUGCGGGCGAUACGGGCAGACUGGAGUACUGCAGGGGAGACUGGAAUUCCUGGUGUAGCGGUGGAAUGCGCAGAUAUCAGGAGGAACACCGGUGGCGAAGGCGGGUCUCUGGGCAGUAACUGACGCUGAGGAGCGAAAGCGUGGGGAGCGAACAGG
rnacentral:rRNA from 1 species